AGUCCUAGGAAAAGACUAGAAGGAACACUUAUGGUGUGAUUUAACCGCAGCCAGCAACUAAAUACUAUACAGCUGCUCGCUCGCUCUCCACCCUCACCUGCACUGAUGGGGUGGGAAGGAGAAUUGGGAAAAGGUAAAACUCAGGGGCUGGGAUAUGAACAGACUGAUAAUCAAAGUAAAGUAAAAUAUAAUAUAAUAAUAGUGAUUAAAAGGGAGGUAGCAAAAAGAGAGGAAUAAAGCCCAGAAAAACCAAGUGAUACACAAGACAACUGCUCACCACUUACUGACCAAAGCCCAGCCUGUCCCUGAGGAGCAAUCAGCCCCUCCCAGCCAACUCCUCCCAGUUUAUAUACUAGGCAUGACAUUCUAUGGUAUGGAAUAUCCCUUUGGCCAGUUCAGGUCAGCUGUCCUGACCAUACUCCCUCACGGCUUUUCGUGUGUCUCCUUGUUGGCAGAGUAUGAGAAAAAGGAAAGUCUUUGACUUAGGGCAAGUACUGCAGAGCACCAACUGAAACAUCAGUGUGUAAUCAGUAUGAUUUUCCUACUAAAUCCGAAAUGCAACACUGUACCAGCUACUAGGAAGAAAAUUAACUCCAUCUCAGCCAAAACCAGGACAACUGGUCAUCUAGCCUACCUUUGUAUCUCAACCUAGUGUUAAAAAGCUUCAACAAAUGAGACUUGACAACCUGCUUUGAUAAGCCAAUAGUAGGGAGAGGUGCUGGAGAAGUGAUUCCUCUGCAGCCCAUUGUGAAGACCACAGUGAGGCAGGCUGUCCCCCUGCAGCCCACAGAGGUCCACAGUGGAGCAAAUACCCACUAUGGAGCAGAUAUCCCACAGAAGAACUCAAAACAGAGCAGGGGAAUGCCUGAAGGAGGCUGUGACCCUUUGGGAAGCCCAUGCUGGAACAUGCUCCUAGCAGGACCUUGUGGCCUCAUGGAGAGAGUAACCCAUGCUGGAGCAGGUGAGGAGGGGAGUGAUAGAAAGACUUCUGUGGGCAUCUGGUGUCCAGCCAGAUAUAACCCACCUCGGUCAGCAAGAAGACAUUUGGAAAGAACUGUCAGUGGAACUGAAUGCAGUGUUUCCAAUUCUUCCUGGCAAGUGAAGGAAUAAAGAAGUAAAGAAUGAAGUCAGGAUCACACUAUGGGAAUACCAUUGUAUUUUUCUAAUUAAUUCCAUUCAAGAAAAUCUUAAUUGAAUAUUUUAGAGUUAAGAUAACAAUGCUGUUAAACAGCAACACAAUUUGAUGAAGUCAACAAAGCAUGACUGUGAUAAUAUAAAGAAAAAUUCAAAUACAUUAAUUUGCCCAUUAGCCUUAUCCUAUUCCCUUUGGAUUUUAUUUUCUGUGCUUUAUUUUUUAACCUCAGAGCUGCAUUCAUGUAUUAUUAAAUCACUAACAACUGUUAUUUAAAAAUCUUGGCUUUCUGAGCCCAGUUAGUAAUCUGGAUGAGCGAUCUACCUCCCUAGGGGAAUUUUCCUAUGCAGAAGCUGGUAUGACCUCCACUCAAACAGUUUGCAUGCAUAAUUAUAUUUCUGAUGGGCUCUAAUUUUAUACAUAAGAUGAAAAUAAUUUGUAGUGAAUUUUGUCUGGCAAUUUGACCCUUUACAUUUUUUUUCUUUAGUUUUACCUUACCCAUGUUAGUAAGCAAAUAAUGCAUUUUUGUGCCAUGGAUAUUCAAAUAAUCAAAUAACUAUUAAAUUAUGCACUUGACAUCCUUACAGAUAGCAUAUGCCUGCAUUAUUUGGCAGAAGUCAAAUGUACAAAUAUGUACUGCAUGCAAUGCUCCAUAUCUGUGUAUAGUUAAACCAACAUGAGGACAGUGGUUAUACUGUUCUAGGCCUGUGUAACCACACAGUUUGGAAUGUUUGAAUAAAUUGCUGAAUGAAACUCAUUAGGAAUUAUAUUUAUGAGGUUUACAGAGGGCAGAUGCUCCCUUUCUAGAUACUGACAGCUGCCACAUCCCCAUUCAGACCUUUAGCAGGUUCCAGGUAGCAAUGUAAAUACACUAGUCCUAAGUAAAAAGUAUCUAUCAGUUGAAAAUUUUGGCAUCUAGCAAUCUCUGGUAAUGUGCAAAACCGCAAGCCAGCCAGCCUGUGCCUUUCUUUUUUAAUUCCUCCCCUGUAAUUUGACAGAUCUUCAGGUAAAGUGCAGAAGAGUUGAUGGAGACACUGACAGCUCUAUAACUUUGCUCAGCCACUCUGAGGUUCAUAGAGCCCACCACAGACUGGAGUAAAUGUCUACUCAUUGUAAAACCUUCCCAGGUUUGAGAAAAAGAGGGUAAUAAACCUGAACAAGGAAUUACAAAUAAGCUGGGAGAGGAUCUCAGUGACUUGGGACCUUCAUUCUCUGGAAGAGUUUUACAUUGUCCUAGAGGACUCCCUUUUAUUGUGCUGUUAGCAACUGGGAAGACUUUCUCCUGGCUGGAUGCUUGUUUAACUUGAAGGGCCAAAGCCAUUUUGUUCUUUAGUAAGUUUGUAAAUUAGGCAUAUAGUCUUCAGUCUAUAUUUGCCAAUGUAAAUCAAAGGAACGGGUAUUUCCAUAGGAUUUUGGCAUUCUAUAGUUCUCUUUCUAACCUGUGUGACUACUGAUGGUGGCUUCCUAUUGCUACUCAGCACUGACUGUCAAAUGGAAAGGAAGUACCAAGCUGACAUAUGGUAAAUGAAUUAUCUUUUUAUAAAAGCUCAUAUUAGAGAUAAUUGAAAUGCAGAACAAUGUCAUCACAGUCACUUCUGAACACAGGAAAAUGAAAUAAUGCUUUCUGGAACAACAAAGGUAUCUCUGUGCUCUUAGAUAAAAUUGCUGAACUAACUAAAUAUGUUUACAGGAACUGCUUCUAGACUGUAGCUUGAAUGCCAGUUUUCAAAUGAAGAUAUAUUUUUAGACACAGUUCAUGAAUUGCUAAACCCAAGAUUUUCAAGUGGAAAUGCAAAGCUGCUGCUGCAACAGUCUGCUAUCGGUAAUUGUGAUUAAAACAGAAUAGGCAAUGGCACAAGCAGAGCAGCUGCAUGUUUAGAUUUCUUCCAAAACCAGUAUUGUGACAACUGAAGUAAUGUAUGUGCAUAUGUAUUUCAUCCCACACUGCAAAAAUUAAUUUAUUAUUUGUGAUAUUAUUGCUUAUGUAAUCUCCAUCCUAAACCAGGACUCUACAGUCAUGUGCUGAUAUAUAUGGUAAAUGGGAUACAGAGAGAAGGAAGACUACGAAGAGAUAUUAAAAUAAUAAUGAUCUACAUGCUUGGUUUCUGCCUAUCAAUAGCCUCUGCGUGGUAAGUAUUCUCCAGGUGUCGCAGAGAGGGAGAGCUUUACAGAAGCAUUUGAAGAGGCCUUAUGAAGUAAAAGAGAAGCUCCUUCAGAAGUGAAAUGGAGAGAGCCAACAUCAGAAGCAGAUGAAGGGUCAUGGUGUUUGCUUAAACCCUGCAUGAUGUUACAGGCAGCAAGAGGAGCUGGCACCAUAAUAAAAGCAGUGCCUUAAUGAAAAUAAAAUGGGGAAGCAUAAGCCACAGGUGAAGGCAAUGAGCUUAUGCUUGCUGUGAUAGAGAAGGAUUAUACACUGAGCAGUCCCACAAUUUCUGGUAAUAAUCUGAAUGUGUAUAAACGUUUGCCUCUGCUGAAAGUGAGGUGAGGUUUGUAGAAAUACAAGAAGCAGGCAAACCCCUUCUUAGGGAGUUUUGACAAAACAUACAGAUAAUGAGGAUUUGGUAACUGAGUCAUGCAGUUUUUAGUUUAAAAAUCUUGGCUGAGCGGAAGUAUGUGGAUGGGUGAUAAUUCUGAUGAGUAUCAGUUUUCCAUUACAAGUUGGGGCUAUAACUUUCCAUUUAUUUUAACUUGUAUGAAAUUCAUUUUAAAGUCAAUCUUCUCACAUCUGUUUCACUUUAGUGUUGUUACACUCUGCAAGGAGACUGUGGUCCAGAGAGUUAAUCAGCAGCAAAAAUUGUAAUGAGUAGAGGAGGAGAAUCUAUAUGGUUAUUGAAUCCCCACCAUUGUUUUUCUCUCUUAAGACCUUAUGCAAAGGCCUGGGAAGUGAAAAAAACCCUUCCACUACCUUGCUUUGAGCUUUGGGUUUGUCUCCUGUACCUUAUUAAUUGUACCAGCAAGCAGAUCAAAUAAAUUAAUAGGGAUGAAUAUUGCAUUGGUAUCAAAUAAUGUACAGAAUUGUUGAACUUGCCAUCAAAGAUGCACUCUGUAGUAUGUUUAAUUCAAAAAGUCAUUCAAAAUGAGAAGUGCAGAUAUGCUGGGAUAAUAAAUAAACCAAUAUGCUACUGUUGAUUUGAUGACACCUCUGAAAAUAUUGGUCUGAUAUAAACUACUUCCAGGUGCUACUGAUGUCCUGGUCUGCACUGCUUGCAUUACGUGUUUUACUGUGUUAUAGCUGAGCCAGCCUGCUAGACAGUUGUGAGGCAGGAAUGAACAGAAGCAGAACUUUUUCCCAAAAACCUUCAGCUCACCUCAUGAUUAACUCAGUUCUUGUUUUUCCAAUUACCCUCCCAAAUUUAUACUUUUUCCAACCAACAUCUUAAAAAGACUACAAUAACAUGUUUUUUAAUUUCUGUCUUCUUUCUAUUUAUUUUUUUUGUCAGGGAAAUUGCAUAUUUUUUUAAUAUGCAUACUGUAUCUUCCAUCUUCUAUCUUUCCUUUGUCACAGUACUGCUCCUCUGAGAGAGACCCCAGUGAGCCUCUUUUUGACUGUGUGAGGAUGCAACUUGCCUGAACCUGAGAGCGUCAUGACUGACAGUGAAAAAGGAUGGGUUACUAGACAGCCUUAAGACACGUCUUCACUAAGCUAAAGGUCAAAUUUAGAUCAGGCUUAAAAAAAAAAAAAGAUAAAUCAUCCCUCUAUAGAUAUGCCUGUUUAUCUAUGGGUUGCCUUUGAGGAUAGGCCUUUCUGCCUGUAACCUCUUGAGAAUGAUGCUAGACCUACAGAAAUCCUUAGGGCACUAGCAUAGUCAGAAUAAGCAUCAGGAGAUAUGAUUCUGUGAAAAUAGUACUGCAGAAGCCUAUUCUGAGAAAGUGCAAAGGGAUGUCUGAUAAACGCGAACUAUUUCUGUCUUCGCUCUCCUUGUUAACUAUUCACUGGGUUGCCAGCAUGUGGAAGUGAUUCCAGCAGCAAGCUGAAAACCUACAGACAGCUUUAAAACUAUUAGAAAUAUGCGGAGGCUUUGAAAUCUAAGAAGGAUCGUUAUGAGUAUUGACUUCAAUCUCCUGUAUCACCCACCUCAUUACUUCAGCUGCUGCUAUACUUCCCCUCAGUUACCAGUGUGACCGAGUCCUGCCUAACACAGUGGAGGUAAGAAUACCUGAACAGAAGAGACAGGAUAGGACCACAUGGGGUGCAAAACAGAAGAUGGAAGACUGCAUUGAAAACACGUCCUCGAUAUUGUUUGGUCCUAGUUUUUCCUGCCAGCUUCAAGGGCGCAAAGAUACAUGUACACUUAAUGCACUCUGGACGGCAACAAGGCAUACUUGGCAAUCUCAACAUUGUAUUCACCAUGGGUUUUGGCAAUAUAUGUACCGUUGUUUUUGCUAAUAGUAAUUAUGGCUCUGAGAGGUAUAAAAUGCCUGAUAUUCCAGUGGAAUAUCAAGUUUAAGACUAAAGUGAAACCUUAAAAAUUCCAUUAUUAUUACAAUUUUAAUAAUUUUAGCAUAAAUAUCCAGCUAUUUUGGGGUUGUGAAUGGAAUUUUAAAACAGUAUCACUAGGUGUUGUUAGAUUUGACUUCAUACCUACAGUUUACUAAGAAUAAAAAAAAAAUGCCUUGUGAUUGAAUACUAUUCUGAAUUCUGGUUAAGUAAAUGGUUCUUUUAAGGUGUGUGUUUCCCCUCAGAUUCGUAUUCAUUUUACAAGUUAUGCAGCUAUAGCUGAAAAAUGAGUCUUGUACUCUACUGAGUAUGUUUGCAAUGGCAUUAAAUGAUUUGUGGUCAUCUUCAGUUAACAUUGACCAUAAAGACUAUAUUCUAUAAUAUCCUUGAAGUAAGGCCAACAUUACCCUUUUUAACUUUUUUUUAAAUGCAAUUUCUGUUAUUGCAUGUUUUCCUACUUUGCUGAUACUCCUGGAGGAAGACUACUUCAAUAUUCUGUUUGGAAGUACCUCAGUUUUAUGUCACCUUUUCUCCCGUAACAUAUUGCUGUUAUUUCCUCAGAUUUUUCGGAGUUUUUAAUAUGUGCAUUUCACUGCCACUCACCCUCUACUAGUUUGAAUGGUAAGAAUAGGCACCAUGUCCCUUACCAGUUCAUCUUUCUCUGGAAUCUCUUUCCUCUCUCUUGGGUCAAUCAUGCUAAAGGUAGAUAAAAUCUAUUUUAUCUAACAUGUCAAUGUCACUCUAUUAACUUUCCUCUGUGGUAUGCUGUUUCCAUUAUAGGAAUUUAGAAGCUUGGGAAGGGAAUUAAUAUCCAACUUUAGCCAGGCAAAUUUGGGUUUUCUUCCAAAGCUUCUCAGAAUCUCUGGUCAUGCACUUCUUUUCUCCUCACAUCAGAAUGUCCUUUAUUCAUAUCAUAGUCUGCUACAUUGCCAUCUAUAGUUCACUGGUUUUCCAGUAAAGCUGCUGAUGGGAAUGCCAGUUGAAGGAAACUGUUUCCUUCAAUGUAAUAUGCUCACAAAAAUGGUGUGGCAUUGGUUUUUUUCCUUAACAGUACCUGCUUGCAACCUGCCAACACAUUGUGUGUAUAAAAAUAUUUGCCAUCUAACACAUCUCCAGAAGUACUUCUUCUUAUGGAAAUUUUCCUUGAGGAAAAUGUUCACUUCACAUAUAUAUAUAUAUGUAUAUGUAUAUAAUCUCCAUGAUGCUACACAGCAGGUAAGAAUUGUGGGUUUUGCUCUUUUAGCAAUGAGGAGUGAAUUGACUCUGCUUUUCUACUAAACACACAAUUUUACAACAAUGACCCUGUCUGGCUUCAUUUUCUGCUGCUAUUCAAUAGGGAGAGAAAAAUUAUAUAAGUCAGGAGCAGUGUGGUGACUGGGCUAUUAACUCACUUCCAUUCUGCACAGUUAAAAGAGCUUCUCUCCUGUGGAUCA